rnacentral:rRNA from 1 species
AUGGUGAGAUCAUAUACAACCGGCAGGGCUUACGGCAAGGAGAUAUGGUGUCGCCACUCUUGUUCGUCCUGGUCAUGGAGACUUCACCACCUGUUGGGUUCGGCCAUGACGGCGGGUGUAUUGCAGCCGCUUGCGCCCACAGGCUUCCGCCAACGCACAUCCAUUUAUGCCGAUGAUGUGGUCACCUUCAUCAAACCAGACUUGCAAAGUCUCAGGGCAUGCACCAUGUUGUUACGUGACUUUGGUCAGGCUACAGGGCUGCACACCAACCUGAUAAAGAGCUCCGCCCACGCUAUUAGAUGCACUGACGAGCAAAUUCUGCAGAUCGCCACCGAGUUGGAGUGCCAGGUGCUGAGUUGGCCCUUCCAAUAUCUUGGGCUACCGCUUGGUUUGCGGAAGGUUUCAGUGGCCCAGCUACAAUACUUUAUUGAUAAGAUGGCGGAUCGUCUGCCUUCCUGGCAGGCCAGUCUUCUCUUUCAUGCGGGAAGGUUGGAGCUCCUGCGCACUACCCUGGCCUCCAUGCCAAUUCAUGCUAUGAUGGCGCUUGACUUGCCGGUCAAAACCAUUGCCGCGGCCAACAAGAUAUGUCGUGGAUUUCUAUGGAAGGGGUGUCACAAUGUGCAAGGUGGGCAUUGCCUGGUAGCCUGGGAUCGGGUGUUGCUACAUCUUGAGCUUGCGUUUGUUUUCCUUGAAGAGGAAAGGGUGAUGCAGCAAUAG